rnacentral:lncRNA from 10 species
UGACUCUUAAGCAUACAAUAAAUUGGGGAGUGAAACGCCAUGGGCCCAGGUUUGGAUGGGAGUCACGGGGUAGCCAGUGCUCUGGAUCUGCCCUAAGAACACAACAGAAACUAGGACAUCACCACAGUGGGACCCAGAGUUAAAAGGCCCUUUGGAUCAUCUGGUCUACUAUAUGUGGCUACUGUGGCUGGGACUGGGACAGGGGCAGGGCCUCAUUCUCAAGGUCACACAGGGACAGGGAAGCAGAGCUGGGAUGAGCACCCAGGGCUGCUGGCCUUGCUGCUGGCCAGGGCUCUGUUUGCUAAAUGGGGACUCUGCCAGAUACAUUUGGAGAGCCCAAUGUGGGAGGAGAGACCAAGCUCAUGGCCACGUCCUCUGCCUGCCCCAAUCUUACCCUCUUUUCCCAAGAGGGUGUUGCCCUUCUUUUGCCAUUUCUGGGCCUCCUCCCAUCCCAUCCACAUCAUUCCACCCUUCCCACUCCCACUGGAGUCCUGCUAUACCUUGCUCCUGGAACCCCUUUCUCUGUCCUUAGCAUCUCCAAAUGGACUGGACUCCGCAAGCAAGCACUCUGCAGUGGACCCCUUGGGUCAUCCAUUCUGAUGGAAACAGUGAGUGGAAUUAAUCCUAAGUCUGUGAAUUUGGGCAGCUCAUCGACUCUCUCAGCUUUAUCCUCACCGGCUCAAGCCUUCUCCACAGCCCAGCCACGUGAGGGAGUCGUCAGCACUGGAACCCAGGGUCCACGGCCUCGGAGGAUCCGGACCCCCUCUGCAUUUGAGGAACUUGGCCUCCAGUCAGGGAGCCAAGAAGUCCCUGCCAAUCAAGGAGGGGGUGUGGGCUGGUGGGGGAGGCAGCCUUGGGGCAUGGGAGCUAAUAGACCAAGCUUGAGGGUUCUACUCCUGACUUCUGGAUUUUUCCACCUCUGUAUGGAAUAUGUUCCUUCUGUCUAACACUGUGUGAUUUGGGGACCAUCCAACUCAAAUGAAAGAAGCCAAGCCAUGCAGUGAGCCACCCCCUCCCCAAUGUGGGGUGCCCUCUGCCCCCCGCCCAGCUCCCCUGCCCUCCCAGCUGAGGGAGGAUCGCCGCCUGGUGAUCUCAGCCUCCCCUCCGAGUGGGCUGUGAAGUGUCUAAUCCAGGCUUUCAUCUGGCAUCCACAAUUAUAAUGUCAAGAUUGAAUAAUCUGCCUUUAUCUCCCGGGUGACAGCCAUGUAGAAACUUCAAAAGAAACAGUUUUGCUGGCAUCUAACGGCUUUUGUUAAUUACUAUAUCCCAA